AUGGAAGACGACUUCGAGAAAGGCACCGGGCCCAAGCGGUUUCGGUACAGUGAUCUUGCCGUCGCCACCAGCAACUUCUCUGACGAGAAGAAGCUGGGCGAAGGUGGCUUCGGUUCCGUGUACAAAGGAUUCUUGAAAGAGCUUAAAGUUGAGGUGGCUAUAAAAAGAGUGUCCAAGACCUCCAAGCAGGGGAGGAAGGAGUACAUCUCAGAGGUGAAGAUCAUAAGCCGGCUGAGACAUCGAAACCUGGUGCAGCUCAUUGGCUGGUGCCAUGGCGGUGGCGAGCUCUUGCUUGUCUAUGAUCUUAUGCCCCACGGCAGCCUAGAUACUCACCUUUACAGUUCAAACACCAUAUUAUCGUGGCCACUCAAGUAUGAGAUCGUGCUGGGGUUAGGGUCUGCACUUUUGUACCUACACCAGGACUGGGAGCAAUGUGUUCUACACCGUGACGUCAAGCCAAGCAACAUCAUGCUGGACGCGUCGUUCUGCGCCAAACUUGGUGAUUUUGGGCUCGCGCGGCUUGUCGACCACGACCGAGGACCAUACACAACUGGUAUUGCAGGAACAAUGGGCUACAUGGACCCUGAGUGCAUGGUCACGGGAAGGACAAGCGCCGAGUCUGAUGUCUACAGCUUCGGCGUAGUCAUGCUUGAGAUCGCCUGCGGCAAGCGGCCCGCUGUUGCUCGGGAACGAGAAGACAUCAUUCAUCUGGUGCAAUGGGUCUGGGAUUCAUGGGAGCGCGGAAGGACCCUUGCCGCGGCCGAUGCGCAGCUCAACCUGGAGUUUGACGACUGGGAGAUGGAGUGCAUGAUGGCGGUUGGGCUCUGGUGCGCGCACCUUGACAAGAACCUGAGACCAUCCAUCAAGCAAGCGGUCAGCAUGCUACGAUUUGAGGCGCCUCCGCCAAGCCUUCCAGCAAAGAUGCCCAUCGCGACAUUUACGGCGACGAUUGAUUCUUCAUUAGUUUCUGCAUCUCAACUUACAGGCGGCAGAUGA
rnacentral:rRNA from 1 species